rnacentral:rRNA from 1 species
UACAGAGGGUGCGAGCGUUGUUCGGAAUUAUUGGGCGUAAAGGGCGCGUAGGCGGCGCCACAAGUCACCUGUGAAAACUCUGGGCUCAACCCAGAGCCUGCAGGCGAAACUGUGGUGCUGGAGUAUGGGAGAGGUGCGUGGAAUUCCCGGUGUAGCGGUGAAAUGCGUAGAUAUCAAGUGGAACACCAGUGGCGAAGGCGAGUCUCUGGACAUUUCCUGACGCUGAGGCACGAAAGCUGGGGGAGCAAACGGG